GUAUCAAAGAAGAUCAACACCACCCUUGUUAUUCUUGCACCACUCAUCACAAUGUGCAAGAUGGAUAGGACAAGAGAUACAGCGAGAACGAUCAACCAGCAAAUCAGGAGAAAGUAACAGCAGCCCAGCCCAUGUGUCAUCAACACACCUUGGAUGUCAAAGUUCACAGCAGACAACAGACAGACAUGGAUAACUUUUC